rnacentral:rRNA from 1 species
GACGAACGCUGGCGGCGUGCUUAACACAUGCAAGUCGAACGGAAAGGCCCUGCUUUCGUGGGGUGCUCGAGUGGCGAACGGGUGCGUAACACGUGAGUAACCUGCCCUAGACUUUGGGAUAACUUCAGGAAACUGGGGCUAAUACCGGAUCGGAGCUCCUGCUGCAUGGUGGGGGUUGGAAAGUUUCGGCGGUUGGGGAUGGACUCGCGGCUUAUCAGCUUGUUGGUGGGGUAGUGGCUUACCAAGGAUUUGACUGAUAGCCGGCCUGAGAGGGUGACCGGCGACAAGGGGACUGAGAGACGGACCAGACUCCUACGGGAGGCAGCAGUGGGGAAUAUUGCACAAUGGGCGGAAGCCUGAUGCAGCAACGCCGCGUUCGGGAUGACGGCCUUCGGGUUGUAAACCGCUGUCGCCUGUGACGAAGCGUGAGUGACGGUAAUGGGUAAAGAAGCACCGGCUAACUACGUG